CCUACGGGUGGCAGCAGUGGGGAAUAUUGCACAAUGGGCGAAAGCCUGAUGCAGCAACGCCGCGUGAAGGAAGAAGGGUUUCGGCUCGUAAACUUCUAUCAACAGGGACGAAAGAGAUGACGGUACCUUAAUAAGAAGCCCCGGCUAACUACGUGCCAGCAGCCGCGGUAAUACGUAGGGGGCAAGCGUUAUCCGGAAUUACUGGGUGUAAAGGGUGAGUAGGCGGCAUGGUAAGCCAGAGGUGAAAGCCUUUGGCUUAACCCGAGAAUUGCAUUUGAAACUAUCAGGCUAGAGUGCAGGUGAGGAAAGCGGAAUGUAUGGUGUAGCGGUGAAAUGCGUAGAGAUUAUGAAGAACACCAGUGGCGAAGGCGGCUUUCUGGACUGAAACUGACGCUGAGGCACGAAAGCGUGGGGAGCGAACAGGAUUAGAUACCCCUGUAGUC
rnacentral:rRNA from 1 species